GAUGAACGCUGGCGGUAUGCUUAACACAUGCAAGUCGAACGGACUCUUCGGAGUUAGUGGCGGACGGGUGAGUAACGCGUGAGAAUCUGGCUUUGGGUUCGGGACAACCACUGGAAACGGUGGCUAAUACCGGAUGUGCCGAGAGGUAAAAGAGAAAUUGCCUGAAGAUGAGCUCGCGUCUGAUUAGCUAGUUGGUGAGGUAAAGGCUCACCAAGGCAGCGAUCAGUAGCUGGUCUGAGAGGAUGACCAGCCACACUGGGACUGAGACACGGCCCAGACUCCUACGGGAGGCAGCAGUGGGGAAUUUUCCGAAAUGGGCGAAGGCCUGACGGAGCAGUACCGCGUGAGGGAAGAAGGCUCUUGGGUUGUAAACCUCUUUUCUUAGGGAAGAACAAAAUGACGGUACCUAAGGAAUCAGCAUCGGCUAACUCCGUG
rnacentral:rRNA from 1 species